rnacentral:rRNA from 1 species
UGGGCGUAAAGCGUGCGCAGGCGGUUAUAUAAGACAGAUGUGAAAUCCCCGGGCUCAACCUGGGAACUGCAUUUGUGACUGUAUAGCUAGAGUACGGCAGAGGGGGAUGGAAUUCCGCGUGUAGCAGGAAAUGCGUAGAUAUGCGGAGGAACACCGAUGGCGAAGGCAAUCCCCUGGGCCUGUACUGACGCUCAUGCACGAAAGCGUGGGGAGCAAACAGGAUUAGAUACCCUGGUAGUCCACGCCCUAAACGAUGUCAACUGGUUGUUGGGUCUUCACUGACUCAGUAACGAAGCUAACGCGUGAAGUUGACCGCCUGGGGAGUACGGCCGCAAGGGAAACUCAAAGGAAUUGACGGGGACCCGCACAAGCGGUGGAUGAUGUGGUUUAAUUCGAUGCAACGCGAAAAACUUACCCACUUUGACAGUACGGACCUUAGAGAAGAGGAGUGCCGAAAGAGAGCCGAACACAGGUGCU